CAGUCGCCGCGGUAAUACGUAGGUGGCAAGCGUUGUCCGGAAUUAUUGGGCGUAAAGGGCUCGCAGGCGGUUUCUUAAGUCUGAUGUGAAAGCCCCAGGCUCAACCGGGGAGGGUCAUUGGAAACUGGGAAACUUGAGUGCAGAAGAGGAGAGUGGAGUUCCACGUGUAGCGGUGAAAUGCGUAGAGAUGUGGAGGAACACCAGUGGCGAAGGCGACUCUCUGGUCUGUAACUGACGCUGAGGAGCGAAAGCGUGGGGAGCGAACAGGAUUAGAUACCCCCGUAGUCCCUGUCUCUUAUAC
rnacentral:rRNA from 1 species